AGCUACCCUGGGGAUAACAGGCUUAUCUCCCCCAAGAGUCCACAUCGACGGGGAGGUUUGGCACCUCGAUGUCGGCUCAUCACAUCCUGGGGCUGUAGUAGGUCCCAAGGGUUGGGCUGUUCGCCCAUUAAAGUGGUACGCGAGCUGGGUUCAGAACGUCGUGAGACAGUUCGGUCCCUAUCCGUCGCAGGCGUAGGAAAUUUGAGAAGACCUGUCCUUAGUACGAGAGGACCGGGAUGGACGUACCUCUGGUGUACCAGUUGUUCUGCCAAGGGCAUGGCUGGGUAGCUAUGUACGGAAUGGAUAAGCGCUGAAAGCAUCUAAGCGCGAAGCCAACUUCAAGAUAAGAUUUCCCACCGCAAGGGUAAGACCCCAGAAAGACUAUCUGGUUGAUAGGUCGAAGGUGUAAGUGCAGCAAUGUAUUUAGCUUAUCGAUACUAAUAGGUCGAGGACUUGACCAAU
rnacentral:rRNA from 1 species